rnacentral:rRNA from 1 species
AGUGGUGGCGACGAGGUGCGUAACGCGUAAGUAACUUGCCCAAGGUAAGGAAUAACGUCGAGAAAUCGGCGCUAAUACCUCAUAAUGCAGCGGAUCCGCAUGGAUAUGUUGUUAAAGGUUUACCGCCUUGGGAUAGGCUUGCGUCUGAUUAGCUAGUUGGUGUGGUAAUGGCACACCAAGGCUACGAUCAGUAACUGGUCUGAGAGGAUGAUCAGUCACACUGGAACUGAGACACGGUCCAGACUCCUACGGGAGGCAGCAGUGAGGAAUAUUGGGCAAUGCACGAAAGUGUGACCCAGCAACGCCGCGUGGAGGAUGAAGGUAUUCUAUAUCGUAAACUCCUGUGAGAGCAGACGAAAGACAGAUUAUUAAUUUGGAUGACUGUAUGCUCAGAGGAAGCCCCGGCUAACUACGUG